rnacentral:rRNA from 1 species
CCCUUAGAUGUCCUGGGCCGCACGCGCGCUACACUGAGUGUCUGAGAUACGAGUCUGCCUGGUCCGGCAAGGUCUAGGUAAUCGCUAAAAGACACAUCAUGCUUGAGAUAGAUUAUUGAAAUUAUUAAUCUUGAACGAGGAAUUCCUAGUAAACGCAGAUCAUCAAUCUGCAUUGAUUACGUCCCUGCCCUUUGUACACACCGCCCGUCGCACCUACCGAUUGGAUGGUCCGGUGAAGCCUCGGGAUUGUGGUUCUUGCCGCUUUAUUGUGGCGUGACCGCGAGAACUUGUCUAAACCUUAUCAUCUAGAGGAAGGUGAAGUCGUAACA